rnacentral:rRNA from 1 species
UGGGGAAUUUUGGGCAAUGGGCGAAAGCCUGACCCAGCAACGCCGCGUGAAGGAUGAAGUAUUUCGGUAUGUAAACUUCGAAAGAAUAGGAAGAAUAAAUGACGGUACUAUUUAUAAGGUCCGGCUAACUACGUGCCAGCAGCCGCGGUAAUACGUAGGGACCAAGCGUUGUUCGGAUUUACUGGGCGUAAAGGGCGCGUAGGCGGCAAUUCAAGUCAUCUGUGAAAUCUCCGGGCUUAACUCGGAACGGUCAGAUGAUACUGCUUUGCUAGAGUGCAGAAGGGGCAAUCGGAAUUCUUGGUGUAGCGGUGAAAUGCGUAGAUAUCAAGAGGAACACCUGAGGUGAAGACGGGUUGCUGGGCUGACACUGACGCUGAGGCGCGAAAGCCAGGGGAGCAAACGGGAUUAGAUACCCAGGUAGUCCCUGAGCGGGCUGGCAAGGCGCAU